UACAGAGGUCUCAAGCGUUGUUCGGAUUCAUUGGGCGUAAAGGGUGCGUAGGCGGCUCGAUAAGUCUGCUGUGAAAGUCCAGGGCUCAACCCUGGAAGGCCGGUGGAAACUGUCGGGCUAGAGUUCGGAAGAGGCGAGUGGAAUUCCCGGUGUAGCGGUGAAAUGCGCAGAUAUCGGGAGGAACACCAAUGGCGAAGGCAGCUCGCUGGGACGUUACUGACGCUGAGACGCGAAAGCGUGGGGAGCAAACAGG
rnacentral:rRNA from 1 species